ACACUCUUUAAAGUGGUGGUGAUGUGUUGAUAACAAUAUUCAUAUCACAGCCAGCUUUGAGGAGCGUUG
rnacentral:pre_miRNA from 1 species